rnacentral:tRNA from 1 species
UGCGGGUGGAGCAGCCUGGUAGCCCGUCAGGCUCAGAACCUGAAGGCCGCAGGUUCAAAUCCUGCCCCCGCAACCA